AGUGAACGCUGGCGGUAGGCCUAACACAUGCAAGUCGAACGGUAGCACAGUAAGAGCUUGCUCUUACGGGUGGUGAGUGGCGGACGGGUGAGGAAUACAUCGGAAUCUACUUUUUCGUGGGGGAUAACGUAGGGAAACUUACGCUAAUACCGCAUACGAACUACGGGUGAAUGAAGGGGAUCUUCGGACAUUGCGCGAUCGAAUGAGCCGAUUUCGGAUUAGCUAGUUGGCGGGGUAAAGGCCGACCAAGGCGACGAUCCGUAGCUGGUCUGAGAGGAUGAUCAGCCACACUGGAACUGGAACACGGUCCGGACUCCUACGGGGGGCAGCGGUGGGGAAUAUUGGACAAUGGGCGCAAGCCUGAUCCAGCCAUACCGCGUGGGUGAAGAAGGCCUUCGGGUUUUAAAGCCCUUUUGUUGAGAAAGAAAAGCAGCAGGUUAAUACCCCGCUGUUCUGACGGUACCCAAAGAAUAAGCACCGGCUAACUUCGUG
rnacentral:rRNA from 1 species